AAAAAAUACCGCACUGUAGUUGUUUUUGAGGUUUGGCGAGAGAACAGCAAGUUGCAAUUUCACGUUAUUGCCCCCAGUUUGUCCGCACGAGUGGCCCACCGCUUUACAGGCAGCGGUUCCUGCUGGAGGGCAGCUUUAAUAGUCGCACGGCUUUUUUACAAAAGGCAGAGGUGGAUGGAUCCCCCGGCUCUCGCCCGCCCGACCGUGUGCCGGUGGCACAGCUUUCCAGGGCACCUACUCCAGCCCCCGUCGCUCGUGUAGUUAGACGAGGCUGCCAUGGUAACAGACGGUAUUUCUCGUCCCUUCAGGCAACAAGUACUAUUGGCUUAAAUUGGAUUUUUGCCUGAUUAAGG
rnacentral:lncRNA from 1 species